ACGGGUGAGUAACACGUGGGUGAUCUGCCCUGCACUUCGGGAUAAGCCUGGGAAACUGGGUCUAAUACCGGAUAUACCUCAUUGACUGCAUGGUUGGUGGGGGAAAGCUUUUGCGGUGUGGGAUGGGCCCGCGGCCUAUCAGCUUGUUGGUGGGGUGAUGGCCUACCAAGGCGUCGACGGGUAGCCGGCCUGAGAGGGUGUCCGGCCACACUGGGACUGAGAUACGGCCCAGACUCCUACGGGAGGCAGCAGUGGGGAAUAUUGCACAAUGGGCGCAAGCCUGAUGCACCGACGCCUCGUGGGGGAUGACGGCCUUCGGGUUGUAAACCUCUUUCAGUAGGGACGAACCGCAAGUGACGGUACCUACAGAACAAGCACCGGCCAACUACGUGCCAGCAGCCGCGGUAAUACGUAGGGUGCGAGCGUUGUCCGGAAUUACUGGGCGUAAAGAGCUUGUAUGUGGUUUGUCUCGUUGUUCGUGAAAUCUCACGGCUUAACUGUGAGCGUGCGGGCGAUACGGGCAUACUAGAGUACUGCAGGGGAUACUGGAAUUCCUGGUGUACCGGUGGAAUGCGCACA
rnacentral:rRNA from 1 species